UUACGGCUAUAUCACGUUAAAACUCUGGUUCUCGUACAAUCACCGAAGUUAAGCAACAUCGUGCCUGGUGAGCAUCUAGAUGGAUGAUCACCUGGGAACACCAGGUACUA